UACGGGGGGGGCAAGCGUUGUUCGGAAUUACUGGGCGUAAAGGGCUCGUAGGUGGCCAACUAAGUCGGACGUGAAAUCCCUCGGCUUAACCGGGGAACUGCGUCCGAUACUGGUCGGCUUGAGUUUGGGAGAGGGAUGCGGAAUUCCAGGUGUAGCGGUGAAAUGCGUAGAUAUCUGGAGGAACACCGGUGGCGAAGGCGGCAUCCUGGACCAAUACUGACGCUGAGGAGCGAAAGCCAGGGGAGCAAACGGGG
rnacentral:rRNA from 1 species